rnacentral:lncRNA from 1 species
GGGUCAAGACCCUGCAGGUGAGCGAGUUCGUGUGACCUGGUCAAGGGGACGCUGCCCUGGGACAGGAGUGAUUCCAGCAUCGCUUCACAUUCAUGCAUUCCCUGCCUUCCAGGAGUCACGGAGCACAUGGGAGGGAUUUCAUGACAAGAUAGGUUCUAGGGGGGACGCCUGGGAGGCUCAGCAGUUGAGCAUCUGCCUUUGGCUUAGGUUGUGAUCCUGAGGGUUAGGAUUGGGUCCCACAUCAGUCUCCUUGCGGGGAUCCUGCUUCUCCCUCUGCCUAUGUAUCUGCCUCCUUCCUUGUGUCUCUCAUGAACAAAUAAAUAAAAUCUUUUUUUUUUUUUUUUUUAAAGAUGUAUUCUAUGGUUUUCUCCUUUAUUCCUACUGGAAAACCAUUCACAUUUUCUGUGUCCUAUGCCCUAGGUGUCGGCAGCCCUGGGACCCAGAGUUCUGGAAACGCUGUUUCCCUGAAGGGGAUGCAAGGAGCUUCUGUGUCCUUUCAUGUGAUCAGAAAUCCAGACUUGCCUCCAGUAGAUGAGCUGGAGAAGAUAUCAUGGGGCAUUGUAUUCAGAUCGAACUACAUAGUCAUGCUGCAGGUCUUUCCUGGGGCAGAUGUUCCAGAAUGGGUCAACUGGCAGGACAAGUUCCAGAAGAGGGUCCAUGUGUUCAACAUAACCACCCUGAGGAUUGACAACCUGACCCUGGAGGACACUGGGCUGUACCGGGCUCGAGACUCCUACACGAGAGGAAGACAAUACGACCAGGAUUUCCACCUGACUGUGUAUGAGCCUCUGCCCCUUCCCCAGAUCAGGACCACGAAUCUGUCCAUCACCCCAGGCUGGUGCAAUGUCACUGUGCAGUGUGACGCCCCGGGAACCAGGGAGGACCUGACCAUGUCCUGGGAGAGCAAGGGUCUCCCCAGGGAGCUGGAACAACGAGAGGCCACAGGACCAGCCCCCAACCCCUGGACCCUGGCUCUGAGCCUGCCCCUGAACCAGCCCAAUGCCAGCCUCACCUGUGUGCUCAGGAACCAGGUGGACCAGACAACUGCCACCUUGGACCUUGGGGACAUCUGUGGCCACACAGAUCCACAGGGACAGAGUGAUGCUGACCAUCUACCCGGCAUCCUGGUGACUGUUGUGGUCCUGCUGCUGAUCCUGGGAGCUGGACUGUUUCUCUGGAGGAGAGGGGUGAAGAAGAGCCUGGAGCCUGGGAGAGGCAGGUUGCACUUCUCCUCCCCGGGCCCUGGACCCUGGGCUCCCUUCCUCCUGCUUUUACUGCUCAGGGGAUGUCCCUGCAGGAGGCUGGUGGGGGCAGCCAUGGCCUUGGGGUCAUAG